rnacentral:lncRNA from 1 species
GGGACCUUGAGUGGGCUUCUUUCUGGACCAUACCCCCAAGAGUCUCUUUUAACCUCCUCUUCUCUGUGGAAAUGCUAUAAGGUCAAUGUCACAGGAACUUGGGGGAUGCUUGGUAAUUCCUAUUCUCUUAUAAGUCUAUAUUUCCUCCUCACCUAAUCUCCAUAUCCUUCUCUACAGGAGGGACAAUUUGUGCUUCAUGGGGAUUUCAUUUGUAAUUGAUUACAUAAUCAGUUCCAUGAAUAUUUUUGGCUUUGAUUAAAAAACUCUUCUGGGGAGAAAGCCUACUAUGAUGAAGUUGUCUUAGAUAUGGAAAGGUUUGUGCCAUGUUUCGGGCUCCUUAUCUCUGAGUGGAGGGCCAUAGUCACUAAGGAAGAAGUGAUUUACUUUAUGAGAGCUGGACUGUGGUCAGUUGAGGAGAAUAUCCCACCAACUGCCUCACUGACCAGAAUGUAGUAGAGGUACUGUUUGUGACAUCACCAGCUGGGAGACUCCCUCAAAAACAUGGGAUCCCUGCUCUCUCCACCUUCACUCAACUUGCCUCACAAAAAGAGGAAAAGAAGAGAGUGCUCCACUCAGGAGGCAGAGAGGUGUAAGAGAUGAAAGACGCGUUCUAGGGUGUGCUAGUAUCCAUCCGAUAUUGUCUCAAACCCUGGGAAUGAUACUUAACACACUUAACUAAAACGAAUUCUCUUCAAUAUUAGGGAUAUUGCUGGAAUUAUUUUGCUGGUAUUAUAUUAAUCACCUAAACUGUUUUAGCUGAAGAGACUGAGGCCAAGAAUAACUGGAUGACUCCCCCAUUCCAAAACAUUUUGGCCGUUAAGUAGAAGAACCAAGAUUUGAACUCACAUCUUGUGAUUCCAAGCAUGUAAUGCUGUAACUCAAAGCUCGUUUGUAUAAGACUCUCCUCAUGGUGGAGGUUGAUUGGGACUCAGCAUCCAGUUGCAGAAUACUCUCCUCACUGUUGAAGGCUGGCUGCUUAAUGUUCCUCCUCUAAGGAGUGGAAGACGAGAAGGGUGGAGUUGGCAAGAUCUUAGGAGAAAAGCAAACAUCUGGGACUUCUGGCUUCCAGCUUCUAGAGAGAAGAAGACACAAAAAUUCAGAUAUUCUUUGGGGCUCUGUCCUUGUCAGCAGAGAAGGAGUCUGGGAAGAAACUGACAUAAAGAAACAGUCGGCCUCCCAUGCUCUUGCCUGUUGGGAUCUAAACCUCAGAAAGCCUGUACCACAAGAUAAAGAUGACAUCAUCACAACUUCUCUGGGAAAAAUAGAAACUGAGAGAUGGCGAGCACUUGAAAUUUCCAGUUGUAAGGAGAGUUGAGAUUGUCUUUACCUCCUCGAUUCUGUCAAAGGCUACUUUUAUGCCUUCUGAGGCCAUGUUGGCAGCAGCAGAACUUAUUAGACUCAUCAACAGAGCAGGUGGUGCUCGAGUGGUGAAAUAGGAUGGCUUUUGGAAUAUUAUCCUCAGUCCCACACCUGAUAUCCUCUAUUGACUUCACCAAUAUCGCCUGAAAUUGGAGCUGCAUUCUUUGUGCUUAGGAAUUAUUCUCAAUUUAAAAGGCAAACAUAUAACAUAUUAAACUCUUUGUAAUUUCAUUCAUUCAUUCAUCCAGCAAACAUUUCUCGAAUUUGGUCCUGGAGACACAAAGACAAAGGUGGAAGUCCCUGUACUCAAGAAGCAUAUACAGUCUACCAGAAUGGAUAGCUCUACAGAUUUUAACAUGGUGGCAGGUAGAGAGAGGCUGCUGAAAUCAAAGGAAUAGAUUAUGUAGUAUGGAUGGUAGGAAAGAGAGCCUCCUUGAAGGAGGAGGUGGUACUAUCCAAAAAUAAAACAUACCCCAAUUCUCA